UACGAAGGGUGCAAGCGUUACUCGGAAUUACUGGGCGUAAAGCGUGCGUAGGUGGUUCGUUAAGUCUGAUGUGAAAGCCCUGGGCUCAACCUGGGAAUGGCAUUGGAAACUGGCGAUCUAGAGUGCGGUAGAGGGUAGUGGAAUUCCCGGUGUAGCAGUGAAAUGCGUAGAGAUCGGGAGGAACAUCUGUGGCGAAGGCGGGUCUCUGGACAGUUCCUGACACUGAGGCACGAAGGCCAGGGGAGCAAACGGG
rnacentral:rRNA from 1 species